rnacentral:rRNA from 1 species
UACAGAGGUGGCAAGCGUUGUUCGGAAUUACUGGGCGUAAAGCGCGUGUAGGCGGCUCUUCAAGUCAGGCGUGAAAGCCCCGGGCUCAACCCGGGAACUGCGCUUGAUACUGUCGAGCUAGAGUGUGGAAGGGGCGAUUGGAAUUCCGUGUGUAGCGGUGAAAUGCGUAGAUAUACGGAGGAACACCAGAGGCGAAGGCGGCUCUCUGGGACGGUACUGACGCUGAGACGCGAAAGCGUGGGGAGCGAACAGG